UACGAAGGGGGCUAGCGUUGCUCGGAAUCACUGGGCGUAAAGCGCACGUAGGCGGAUUGCUAAGUCAGGGGUGAAAUCCUGGAGCUCAACUCCAGAACUGCCUUUGAUACUGGCGAUCUUGAGUCCGGGAGAGGUGAGUGGAACUGCGAGUGUAGAGGUGAAAUUCGUAGAUAUUCGCAAGAACACCAGUGGCGAAGGCGGCGACCUGGACAGAUAUUGACGCUGAGGUGCGAAAGCGUGGGGAGCAAACAGGG
rnacentral:rRNA from 1 species